rnacentral:lncRNA from 1 species
CCGCAGAAGCCACCAUCCAGAUUCCUUGGGCUGCUGAGGCUCAGAGUUGCCUGACUGUGCGGCCGCAGGAGGUGGUGUCUGAGCUGGACUCAGCCACUUCCUCUGGCCCUGCCCAUGAGGGAAGAGAAGACGGGCACCUCCCAGUCAGGAAGCACAUCAGUGGCUGAGCUGUCCCUUCCUGCCUGAGGCCUGAGUCUCCCCACGUAUCAUCAGAGAGGGUUAGAUUACAAGGUCUCUUGCCUCAGUUGCACUGUGCCCCCUGCACUGGAGCCUAGAGACUGGCCGAGUUCCAAGUCUUGUCUCUGGAAGGGCCUGCCCACUGGCAGCAGUGCAACAUUGGAAGAGGUGUGGACGGGGGCUAGUGCUGGCCUAAGGGGGCCGUUUCUGAUGGACUGGCUGUCUGCCUUUCAGGGGAAUGUGCUGAACUGUCGGAAAUGGAAUGAGGAAUUCAAACUGAUGGAGAUCGAGCUGUUCUAGGAGGCUGCAAAUCUGUACACCGUGCAGCCUGACGAGCACUUUAGGGCCUGGUUCCAGGCUGUGGAGCCCCUGAGCAAGGAGGAGAGAUGAGCUAUAGCCUGUCCUGCCAGCUGGAGCCCUGAUACCACUGGGCCAGAAAGAUUCGAUUUCUCUUCAAAGACAAGAAGAACCGCUCAGGACAGAGCACCAGACCCCCAACCAAGCGCCCAGUGGUGGUGAUCCAUGACCCUCCUGAGACCAGCUGAACUACAGCACGGACACAGUGGGUACACUCAGGGUGCACAGGGCCACGUCCUCUGAUUCUGACAAGGAGAACUUUGUGAUCCAUUUCCUGGGGUCCCCUGGAGGCCACGAAGGAAGGCACCAAACCCUCUUCUCCCUCCCCGCUUUUCCCCAGCACCUAUUUCCGUAUUUGCAGGGGCCGUGUUUUUGUUGUCAAUGGUAAAUGGUCCGUUUGGGUAUUAUAUUAAAUUGUUGCUUCUUUCUAA